UACGUAGGGUGCGAGCGUUAAUCGGAAUUACUGGGCGUAAAGCGUGCGUAGGCGGUCCGCGAAGUCUGAUGUGAAAGCCCCGGGCUCAACCUGGGAACUGCAUUGGAAACUAACGGGCUCGAGUGUGGCAGAGGGGGGUGGAAUUCCACGUGUAGCAGUGAAAUGCGUAGAGAUGUGGAGGAACACCGAUGGCGAAGGCAGCCCCCUGGGCUAACACUGACGCUCAGGCACGAAAGCGUGGGGAGCGAACGGG
rnacentral:rRNA from 1 species